rnacentral:lncRNA from 1 species
CUUCUCUCUAGUUGGGGUGCCUGUGAAACCGGCAGGCUCUCUCCAAAUGCCUGGAUUCUGCUGGGGGAGUAAGAAGUCAGGAGUAGUUUGUCUGAUGGUAUUGGGAUCUGCUUUGCAAUUGCCAAGCGCUAAGGCACAAGCUGGCAGAUGUGCUGCGGCUCUGCUACGGGCGGCUCUGUCGCCUUCAGUCGCAGGCUGGUUCUUUGGGGGAAAGUUGUAUCCAAUAUUGGUGACUCCCGGGAAUAGUCUGUUUGUGUGCUACUUAAUGGUCUCUAGGCUUCCUUGUCUUGUAGAACCUUGUUAGAAAGGAGCCUUGGUGAUUAAGAGGCUAUGGAGUACACAGCCUUGCUUAGCAGAUGAGCCCUUAUCCAUUUCCCGUUUCCUUAAAAACGGCUAAUUGAUGGAUGCUGCAGAAAACAUGCACUCUGCUAAUAAGAUGCUGAUGACAAAAUAGGUAUCAGGAAAGGCAUUUACUGCUUAUGAGCACCAUCAGCUUUCUUUCGAGUGAGAUUGUGGCUUUGUAGUAAAGUUUUUUUUUAAGUAAUAUGCUAAUAGUUUUAUUCUAAAUCGGCCAGCGCUGAAUAUCUUCAGGAAAAUGGGUUCCAUGAGAAGUGACAUCCUCCUCGAAUCAAAAGACUUGAGGUUAACAUGGGCAUAAUGUUCUGGAUGAAGCUUUGGAAGUACUUGUGAAGGAUUCUCAGGAUGAUGGAGUGAGUGAUGGAAUAGGUUGCCAACUGUAGUUACUCCACUCAGCACAGAAUGGCUGCGGGGAAAUAUAAUCAGACAUGCCCAAAGAAGUCUGCUUAGGGUGAAACAAAUACCUUUGAGGUUUAAAUCAGAAAGGAAGGAGAGACUGUUUCUACAGGUGUCAUACAAAAAUCAAUACUGAGCCAAGGAUUAUUGGAUCCCAUAGAACCACGGAGACUUGGUAGUGAAAUUCUUCCAAAGCAUUCCAUCCGUGCAGGCAGAUGGUGUUCCUAGGUUUGGAAAUAUAAAUCCCAUGGGAAGUCAGCUGAAGACCAUUUUAUGCAUCACUCAUCCUGUUAGAGCCCUGUGCUGUUCUGUCUCUCUAUAAGACUGGCUGAAACCACCACGGUUGUUUACAAUUUAUGCUCUAACUUUGGAUCACCUAGUUAAUACUCUAACUCCGAUUAUUACCAAAGACAAUGUUCUAUAAAAGAUAUUGUCUAUUAGAAGGAUGCUUCUGCAUUAUUAAUAAAAUCACAGGGAAAAUGCAACAUUUUGGAUGUCACAUCUGAUAAGUGGGUGACUGAUCGUACCCGCCAGCUGGCUAAUGUCAUAAUUAACAAAGUUGCUACUACAUCUGCAAAGUUUAAUCGAAAAAUUUGCCAGUGAUAUGAUGGCCUUGUCACAGAGAUCACAAGGGACACGGAGUUGACUUUUGCUCAAGGUGGAACGACAGAGCUGUGUAGGCAAGAUGAGAAAUUGCGAACUUGUUCGGCCAAAGGAGGCUAAUAAUGAAGGGGCCGGGAAGGAGGCCAGUGCUACCAGGGUUAUCUCACAACCUCAGAUGCUGGAUAAGUCGACGGAGGCAGAAUCGCUUUGGGAUGACAUUCAGAAAGCCUGGAGUGAUUACUUGCAAGAGAAAAGCCUACCUAUUCUUUCCAAGGUGCAGGAAUAUUCCCCUGACCUGCUCAUCCAGUGGUCCAGUAAUGAAUUACUGGAGACCUGCCUUAGACAAAGAAUGCACUCGGAGCCCCAACACACCUAAAGCCAUGCUUUGAAGGAUCUGCCAAGCUCACUUUUAAUCAUGAGAAAGAAAUUACCCACACGGAGUCAGCAGAAAAUGAGAAAGUAGAGCUCGUGCUGUGAAUAAUUCCAGCAAGUGCCAAGGGGCUAGUUGAGGAAUGGCUUCAUGAGAACAUGCUCUAGGGGAACUAUUAAUAGCCCACCAGUCGGGUAGGCAGCAUUCAAUCCUUCUAUGCCUUCUUUCGCCACCUGUUGAGGUCUUUCUUCUGAAACAAAGAAGAAAUAGACAAAUCAGACUUGCCCUCUUGGAAAUGUGGUCCAGAUUUCUCUACUCCCAAGCUCCAAAAAAGGUAUACAUUGGAUGGGCUAGAUCAACUCCUCCUGAGAGCCAUAAAUCCGCCAAGAGUUGUUUUCCAUGUAAGGGUGUGGUACAAUGGGGAACACCUGAUGUUGGAGGAAAGCAGGAGGACUUUAGAGUGGAGUUGCAUUCUAAUCUCUCUGCCGCUUCAACUAUGUGACCUGGGGCAAAUGAUAUAAACUCUAUGAGCCUCUUUCCUUAUCUUUAAAAUGAAGAGAAGUAAUACCUACCUUGUAGGGCUGUUGUGAGGAUUAAAUGAAGUAAUGCAUACAGUGCCUAACAAAGUAUUUAACAUCAUAUUUUUUAAAAGCUCAUGAAAUAUUAGUUUUUCUUCCUUCCCCUCUUUCUAUUUUCUCUCCUGUUCCCUUUUCUCUCCCUCCUCUGCCCUCUCCUUCCUUCAGAUGUUAGUCUAAAACAGCACCUUGGAUCUAAGCAGCACCUUUGAGAAAGAAAAGACUGCUUCAAGAAUGUCUAGUUGCACCUCCUUUCCGUAUGUGGCCUAAAUGCCUAGGUUGGAUCAAUAGUUUAAUUUUUUUAUUGAACUGUUUAAUAUUGACUAUGGACUUACAUUCACUUUUACUGUUUUCUGUAUAUUUACUUUUGCUUGAAGUGUUUUAAUAUUGACUAUUUACCUCUGCUCAUUUUUAUUGAUUUUCUGUAUUUUUUCAAUGAAAAUUAUAAUAAAAAUUAUUUUUGUUA